GUGUCCCGUGCGGGCCUCCGUCCUCGGGCGAGCAGGGCCCUUCGCUCCGGGAGGGGAGGUGACGCGGCGCGGGCUGGACGGCCGGAGACGCGGGGUCAGGGCGCGGACGAGGGGAGCGCAGGGUCGGAGGGGCUCCCGGACGCUGCCCGCCCAGCGUCGGCUCUCGUUGGCCCCUGGCUGCGCGCAGCGGGCCCGACUCUCAGGGCCCUGCGGUGCCCGCUGCCAGCGUGAGGGCUCCGGUCACGCGGCGCGCGAGACGAACGAGCGAGAUGCUUCCCGAAGCGCGGGGCCCAGUGCAGGGGCUCAGCCGGGGCUCCUCCCAAAGCUCACCUGGAGCCCAGCACGACUGCGUUCUGGAAACGCUGUGUUUGACAGCAGGGGCAGGAUGGGGGGCUGUGUAGACGCUGGCCACGUGGCAAUUGUAGGAGAACCAUGGGAUCGAUAAAUGUUCACUGUUGUCCCUGAAGCGCAAAACUGCAGGGCUCUGGAAAGUCCGUGUGUGUGUUUUUGUUGUUUUUGUUUGUUUGAGACAGAGUCUCGCUCUGUCACCCAGGCUGGAGUGCGGUGGCGCGAUCUCUGCUCACUGCAACCUCCGCCUCCCGGGUUCAAGCGAUUCUCCUGCCUCAGCCUCCCGAGUAGCUGGGACUGCAGGCGGCCGCCACGACGCCCGGCUAAUUUUUUGUAUUUUUAGUAGAGACGGGGUUUCACCGUGUUAGCCAGGAUGGUCUUGAUCUGACCUCGUGAUCUGCCCGCCUCGGCCUCCCAGAGUGCUGGGAUUACAGGCGUGAGCCACCGCGCCUGGCCGAAAAGUCCGUUUUAAAAGAUGAUGUAUACAAAUUAUAGCACGGAGAGGGAACGGGCAAGUUGUUUCCUCUUUCCAUGCCUCCAACUCCUCUGAAAUGUGGGUCAUGAUGAUAAUAGGAAAAACUGUCUCUGCCAUAGAGAGGUGGAAAAAGUCCCGCGAAGUGUCCCCGGUAUCUAGAAAGCGCUCAGUAGUGUUUGCUGUUAUCUUAGGGAUAUCAGGCUGCCUGGACAUUUCUCAGAGGAUGAAGGGGAUUGUAGUAAGGAAGACCACCUUCCAGAGGAUGAAGGGGAUUGUAGUAAGGAAGACCACCUUCCAGAGGAUGAAGGGGAUUGUAGGAAGGAAGACCACCUUCCAGAGGAUGAAGGGGAUUGUAGGAAGGAAGACCACCUUCCCGGGGCUGGGCAAGGCUGCGGUACUGUCUCUCAUCAGGUCCAGGAGGACUCAGCAGGCUGAUGCAGAGGGACACAGCGCAUCCGCCUUGGUGGAUGCAUGGCUUUCCUGGCUCCCCUGGGACGGGGGAGGAGGGUGAAGAUGGAGGGAAUCUGGCUGGCUGGGCCUUGUGUACUGGGGGGUGGAGGGCCCAUUUGACUGCAGGAAUUGCUCAAGCACAUAAGCACCUUGAAGUGUGUUACUAAGAUACAAGAAACAGGUUUGCUUUUGCCUAUUCCAGCAUGGUGUACCUCUCUUAGGAUACCUUUUAGCACAGGUAGCAGAAUACCAGCCAGCCUCCUGUGGCUCACAGCAUUAAGAUAUUUAAUCAUCUGACAUUACAUGAAGUCCAGUGUUAGGCAGGCAGGAGCUGCUCCCGUGACUCAGUGACAUCAGGUUGGUCCACAUCCUAGCAGUUCUCUUGGUGUUCCUGCGUGAUCAAAGGAUGACUGCCACACCCCAGCCUGCUGACCUCAGCCCUGGCGUGGGCAUAGGAGGGUCUGCGUGGCUGAGCAUCCAGUGUCCUUCGUACUGCCACUGACAGCCUCAGGCCUGAUUUCCAGCACUGUCUGUCCAGGAGCAAUGGGAGCAAGAGUCACUCCACGAGACUCUGGAGGCCUGAUAGGUAUCGAGAACCUUCCCUGCGAACUUCAGAGGAACUUCCAGCUGAUGCGAGAGCUGGACCAGAGGACGGAAGAUAAGAAAGCAGAGAUUGACAUCCUGGCUGCAGAGUACAUCUCCACGGUGAAGACGCUGUCUCCAGACCAGCGCGUGGAGCGCCUGCAGAAGAUCCAGAACGCCUACAGCAAGUGCAAGGAAUACAGUGACGACAAAGUGCAGCUGGCCAUGCAGACCUACGAGAUGGUGGAUAAACACAUUCGAAGGCUUGAUGCAGACCUGGCGCGCUUUGAAGCAGAUCUGAAGGACAAGAUGGAGGGCAGUGAUUUUGAAAGCUCCGGAGGGCGAGGGUUAAAAAAAGGCCGGGGUCAGAAAGAAAAAAGAGGGUCCCGGGGCCGAGGCAGGAGGACAUCAGAGGAAGACACACCAAAGAAAAAGAAGCACAAAGGAGGGUCUGAGUUCACUGACACCAUCCUGUCCGUGCACCCCUCUGAUGUGCUGGACAUGCCCGUGGACCCAAACGAACCCACGUACUGCCUGUGCCACCAGGUCUCCUAUGGGGAGAUGAUUGGCUGUGACAAUCCAGACUGUCCAAUUGAGUGGUUUCACUUUGCCUGCGUGGACCUUACCACGAAACCCAAAGGAAAAUGGUGAGUGUGGGGACGCUCGCUCUGUUUUCUCCCAGUCUGCUGGGUGUUGCGCUGCUGGCCUCCCCAGGAGAAGGUGCUCCAUGGCAGAAUCUUGCCGGGCUUAGCGGGACACGGUAGCCACGUAGGCAUGCCCCACUGUGGCCUCAAGGAGUGUGGCUGGCUGGUGGCUGCUCUGGGUGUGGCUUUAUCCCCCCUUUGCUGCUGUGCCUGUCCGAGCUGGCAGAGGGAUGCCGUCACCCAGGAAUGGUGGUUACCAGGUUACGUGAUAUUCACGUUAAUGGCCCCUCCUGAAGGACAACCUUCCGGACUCUGGGAGGUAGGGAUCGUCUUAAAUCAGAAAUGAGAGGUUCUUGUCCCCUAGGGAAAUUUGGGAAAUAUAGCAUGAGAUGUGAGCCCUGAAGCCGGGGCAUGGAUCUGGGGCUCUGCCCCUGGCUCUGUCUAGUGGAGAAGGGUGUGUUUUCUCUACCUGACCCUUGCAUCCCCUUGGCAAUGGCAACUUUCUGCAUUGUUGUUCCUCAGAUUUCAUUUAAAUAAAAACCUGUAGUCUGGGCAACAUCGGGAGACCCCAACUCUACAAAAAAUACAAAAAUUAGCUGGGCGUGGUGGUGCGUGCCUGUGGUCCCAACUACCUGGGAGGCGGAGGCGGGAGGAUGGCUUGAGCCUGGAAGUCCGAGGCUUCAGUGAGCUGAGAUCGCGCCACUGCACUCCAGCCUGGGCGAGAGAGCAAGACCCUGUCUCAAAUAAAUAAAUAAAAAGAUAAAAACCUGGCUUUGUUUGCCUGUGCUGAAAAUCUAAAAAUGGAUAUCUAUGUUCUGAAAAUGAAAUCGGAAUGUGCUCUUCUGUGUGGCACUCAGAGGUCAUCGUGGCAGCGUGUUUGAAACUCCGGCAGACUCGCCCGAGUUGGUUCUGUCCACGGUGUGUCCAGGAAAAGAGGAAGAAGAAGUAGGAGGAGCUGUGUGCCCGGAUCCGAGGAGCAAGUUAAUCUGUCCCUUCAUUCGUGUCGCAAUAUUUCCCUUCCUUUUAAAACUACCUUGUUCGGUUGAUACUUAGUAACUCCGUGGCCAGUUGAAGCGCUGGAUGUUUCCUAGAACAAGAACCACCAAAGCCUGUUCGCACAGAAGGGCGACCUUGCAGGGACUCGCCGCCGCGACCUCAGUGUGGCUUUUACAGGACUCCCCCCGAGCAUCAGCAGGGACCCCGGCGGACGUGGGCGGGCGCGCGUGAGCUCGGGCUGCCCGGCCGGGCGUGCGGGCGGGGACAUGGUAACCUGGUCCACGGAGGGCGGCCGCCACCCUCGCGUAGCUUUCCUGUGGUUUUCCAGGACUGUCCGGUACAGCCCGGGCUCCGCGUGCCCCGCCCGCUGGAGCACCUGCCACCGAGGCGCGCGUGGGGCCACUGCCGUGGCGGCGGCUGCCCUCCUCACACUCGGCUCCGCGCCGCCUCCGGCCACCGUGCGCUCCCGCGUGGGGCGCCUCGGAUGGGCCCGGGAGGGCUGGGGGCUCUUCCCUGGAGGAAGCGGCCUCCGCUUCGCUGGCGCCGCCUUUUUAGCUUGGACUUCAGUCCUCCCUCGGGGACUCACCUCCGGAGUAAACGGCUCUUCAUUAGCUUGGAGUGGCCGCAGGUCCCGUGACCAGCACCCGCGAGACCCUGUGCGACAGCUGGGCUGAUGCUCCGUUUCUCUGGGAAUUGGUGAUUUUUUACUGUGAAGAUGAAAUUACCCUAAUAGCAUGAAGAUCGUGGGUCUGUGUGUCCGUGAAGUGAGUCCCGUCUGCCAGGAGCUGACGAACCACGAAUGCUUCUGCCUGUGCUGUGCAUUCCCAGGCCCGCAGCUCCCGGUCGAGGGGACUCCGAUGUGAAUUUGUUGUGAAUUUGUUGUGCCACAAUAGCAGUUCUGGAAUGAAGCUAGGAAACUCGAGUGUGCUUUUUGUUUAAUGAGCGUUCACCAAGCUGAGCCGGAGCCAUCCUUUCGGUGGUAGUUGGGGAAGGCUAUGCAGAUUUGCUCUGUUGUGACGCGUUGGUGACGGUGCCCAGCCUGCGGUUCCCCACAGCAUCGCAGGCGCUCGGAAAUCCUCUCCCGUGCCUUUAGAGGAAGGAGAGGAUUGCUGAGGAAUGCAGGGACGCCUGUUUCUGUCCUCACACCACAGAAAGAAACCUGAGGGAAAACUGAGACGUGAGGUUCCUGAUUUAAGAAGCCUGGGUUUCUUCAUGGUGGGGGGCCAUUUGGAAUGACAGCCUCACUUCCUUCUGAUGGCUACAUCUGUAUCUUUUCCUCCUGUGUUUAAUGUUUCACUAGGGAGAGGAAAUAAAGCAGAAGGAACGUGUGAAGCUCUGUGUCUCAGACGGGGCCCUCCCGUCGAGAAGCUGGUAGUCAGUGAGUGAGAACAAGAGAACAAGAACACCCUGAACAGUCCUGGUUGGGAUGGUGUCCACAUUCAUGUUCUGCGGUUCUUGAACACACGGAUGCCUCUGGGCCACCUGUCCUUUUCCGAGGGUGUGGGUGGGAGUGGAUCCUCCGGGCGCAGGUGCCAGGCAGGUGCAGGCGGGCGGUCGGCCACUGCUGCUGCUCGUCCCUGCCAGUGUCUGGGCCUGAAGGGGCUCCCUCCAAGCGGUGCCUUCCUGCGGCUUAGAAGGGAAAGCGCCAGAGAGGGCAGGCUACAGUGCUUCACACCCUUCGCCACGGCUGUGAAACUGGAGAUGGGUGGGUUUUGUAUGUUAAUUUUUUUUUUUGAGACGGAGUCUUGCUCUGUCACCCAGGCUGGAGAGCAGUGGCGUGAUCUCGGCUCACUGCAAGCUCCGCCUCCCGGGUUCACGCCAUUCUCCUGCCUCAGCCCCCCCGAGUAGCUGGGACUACAGGCGCCCGCCACCACGCCUGGCUAAUUUUUUAUAUUUUUAGUAGAGACAGGGUUUCACCAUGUUAACCAGGAUGGUCUCGAUCUCCUGACCUCACGAUUUGCCCGCCUCGGCUUCCCAGAGUGCUGGGAUUACAGGCGUGAGCCACCGCGCCUGGCCACCCAGCUAAGUUUGUAUUUUUGUUGGAGACGGGGUUUCACCAUAUUGGCCAGACUGGUCUCAAACUCCUGGGGUCAAAUGAUCCGCCUGCGUCGGCUUCCCAGAGUGCUGGGAUUACAGGUGUCAGCCACUGCGCUCAGCUGGGAGAUGAAUUUUCAUUUAAUGACUUAACUUUUUGUUAGCACAGGUUUUGUGUGUGUGUGUGUGUGUGUGUUUUGUUUUUUGUUUUGUGUUUUUGAAACGGAGUUUUGCUCUGUCACCCAGGCUGGAAUGCAAUGGCACCAUCUUGGCUCACUGCAACCUCUGCUUCCUGGGUUCAAGUGAUUCUCUUGCCUUAGCCUCCCGAGCAGCUGGGAUUAUAGGCGUCCACCACCACGCCCAGCUAAUUUUUGUAUUUUUAGUAGAAAUGGGGUUUCACCAUGUGUGGCCAGGCUGGUCUCGAACUCCUGACCUGAAGUGAUCCACCCGCCUCGACCUCCCAAAGUGCUGGGAUGACAGGCAUGAGCCACCGCACCCGGCCAACACAGAUGUUUAUUGAUCGUGGAGGAUACAUUGUGGAAAAUGUUUUUCUCUCUUUUACCAUUUUUGGGAAGAGGGAUAGGUAAGUGCAGGGAGUUUGUGCUGAAACAGCGCCUGGCAAUUUUUCAGAAAUGAAUUUGAUAUUGCGCUCCACCUUUGAGCUGUUCACACCUGUGGCUACCCCUGGAAAGCGCUGGGGUUGUUGAUGCUUUUGGCUGCCCGGCUUCCUGAGGUCUCGCUGCUUUUUGGGGAAAGAUGACUGGCUUCCCUGUGGGACGCUUUUGUCUGACACGUGAUGAUGUGGUCCUGCCUGCCACUGUGCACCAUCCCAGGUAUUGAAUUUUGACCUUUUCUUUUCAAGUUUCUGUGCUUAGUGUUUUUAAUGUUUACUUUUGCCACUUACAAUAAUAUCACCAAAAUAAUAUGCAUAGAGUUUUGGAAGAAACAUAGAAAACAUGAGCAGAAUGAGACAAUUCCUUGGGCUGUAGUUUGGACCCAACUGAAUCCUGAGUGCUCUGUGGCUGACGCUGUCUACCCGUGGGAGAGACACACUCAGGAGUGGCCGUUUGGCCAGAAAAGAAGGUCAUGGCCCCUGGCCUGGCCCCCGCCCUGCAGGGACACAGAAGCCACACCAUUUGCACCAUCCACGCCUUGCUCCAGAAGGCCUGGCCGCCUUCUCCCUGGGGGUGAUUCAAGGAUUUGGUCUCGGACCAGACCCCCCUCCACAGCUGCCCGGCCCCAGACCCAUCUCUUGGAUUGAGGGUGUGUGGGCUGGAACCAGUGGGUCACUGUGGCAGCUUCAUCUGAGCCGAAGGUGUGGGUCCUCUGUGGCUGUGCGAUUGACCUCGAUGGGAAGGAGCGUUCUACCCAUUUUCCUUGUUUUCAGUGCUGCGGUAUCAGUCAGUGAUCUGAGGAAAUCCUGUAGGGGAAGGCAGGCUGCAGUGAAAACAGGAGCUGGUGAAACCGAGCCCUCUGCAUCUGCGAAUGUGCCCUAGGUGCUGCUGCUGGGGACAUGGAUGCCAAGCGGAGGCCUGCGUGGCCUCCUGAGCAGCAGCUGACCGCCCGUCUCAUGCUGGACGGGACCCCUGGGCGGGUGGACAUGAGACCACUGUUGGCCAGGGACGCCGUGCGGAGGCCUACGUGGCUGCCUGAGCAGCAGCUGACCGCCCGUCUCACUGUUGGCCAGGGCUUUGUGGCGUGGGUGUUUUCCAGUCUGCCUGGAGCAGCGAGAAGCAGCUGUGCAGACUGGUGGCGGUGGGAGGGUUUGCUGGGACUGAUGGGGACACCGGCCAGCUUGUCUGGUGUCCAGCAGCCCUGCCGGACUUGGCCUCCUGUCCUGUCGUUGGGAGCCCUGGCUGGGGCUGCUUUGAGCAAUGACGCUGGCCCAGAGCAGCUUCCCACAUGACCCCAGAGCCGAGGGUCUGCCCUGUCCUAGGUUAGGUCUUCAUGGUUUAGAGUAAAACCGUGAGGGAUGUUAAUUAUGGGCAUUGAAGACUUAAGGUUUUCUUAAAUUUUUAGUGAGCAGUGAUUGGCCUUCAAUACUUGUGCUGAGAGGAAUUUUAAGCCAGGGGAAGUGUAAGAAAAUGUUCCCAUUCAGGAGAGAUUGUGUUGGAGUUUCUUUCUUCCUCUGUAUGUAUUUUGUGGUGUCCACCUUUAACCACGUUUCAUCCAAAACGAUGAUGCAGCUUUAACAUGAAUGUUACAUUUUUAUUUUCAAGGAAUUAUUAUCUAUGUUCCCUUUGUAAAGGAAAGAUAAUGUUGUAAAUCUUUUUAUUAGAUAAUGUAAAGAUGUAUAUCAGUAUUUUUGGAUCAUGUUAUAGAUUAUGGAUAUAUUGUUUAAUAAAUAAAGUAUUUUUUGGAACAAA